rnacentral:rRNA from 1 species
UACGAAGGGGGCUAGCGUUGCUCGGAAUCACUGGGCGUAAAGCGCACGUAGGCGGAUUGCUAAGUCAGGUGUGAAAUCUCGGGGCUUAACUCCGAAACUGCAUUUGAUACUGGCGUGCUUGAGGACUGGAGAGGAGACUGGAAUUCAUGGUGUAGCAGUGAAAUGCGUAGAGAUCAUGAGGAAGACCAGUGGCGAAGGCGGGUCUCUGGACAGUUCCUGACGCUGAGGCACGAAGGCCAGGGGAGCAAACGGG